rnacentral:rRNA from 1 species
CAGCCGCCGCGGUAAUACCGAGGAUGCAAGCGUUAUCCUGAAUGAUUGGGCGUAAAGCGUCUGUAGGUGGCUUUUCAAGUCCGCCAUCAAAUCCUAGGGCUCAACCCUGGACAGGCGGUGGAAACUACCAAGCUGGAGUACGGUAGGGGCAGAGGGAAUUUCCAGUGGAGCGGUGAAAUGCGUUGAGAUCGGAAGGAACGCCCGUGGCGAAAGCGAGGUCCUGGACGUCUGCUGACACUGAGACGCGAAAGCCAGGGGAGCGAACGGGAUUAGAUACCCGAGUAGUCCCUGUCUCUUAUAC